rnacentral:lncRNA from 1 species
AUGGUUUUUUGUUUUCUAAAUCAAAUUAUAGGUGAAGAAAUAAACUCGAAAGUUUUGGAGACAAUCACUGAGAGUGACUUACACAUUUUACUACCCAGUGCCCCAUUUGGAGUGAAGAGAAAACUAAUUUUAAGUCGAGAUGAAUGGAUGAAAUCUAAACGAGCCCGAACCUCCACCCCAUCACUGAGCCCUCCAGAGAAUCCCAUUUGGUCCAGCUUAAGCCCCGUGACUGAAGUUAUUUCUUCUAAAAAUCCCAUCGAAACUGUUACUGCAGGUCAAAGUGUAAAUGAUAAUGUUUCUGCAGGAAACUUAACGACCCUUUUAAAUGAAUUUGAAGAAUCGGAAAGUGUAGUGAGUGAUGAUGACGAGUCGCACCCCAACCAAGAAAUGAGGGAAGAAAAUGAUGACAAUGCUCGUCAAGUUGAAGUUCCACCAAUAGCAACUCCAAAUUACUCUGCUUUAUUGGAUAAAGAGACAGCCAAGCAAAUUUUGAGUGUUCUAAACAAAACAUCAGCAGGGGUUGCCCUGCUUAGUUUAACUAACAGUCGUCUGGACAGUAGCCAGAGACAAAAACUGUGCCAACUCAUCAUUGAUAGUGAGUUAAAUGGUAAUUUAAAUACCAAAAUAACCUCAAGGCGGUUUAUUAGGUUAUCAAAAGGUAUUGCUACUCUUUUUACCAAAGAAGAUCAUAAAACUUACUACGUGCCUUACAGGAGGCUGCCAAAUAAGAAGAAGGUAAAUGCUCGUGGAAAGUUGAUUGGUCAUUACAACAACCUAAGACGGACCCUCAUUAAACUGAAUCUCAUUCGGAAAUACAAUGCGCAUUCUGCCCCUGCUCCCGCUGCAAAAGAUCCAGUAACCGAACACGAAGUUGACGAGAAACUUUUGGAUGAGCAGCAGUGGCUUACUAGUGCAAUAGAUCCUGCUAGUUUAGUCGAGGAAAGAUGGACUAACACAGCUCGUUUAAGACUUGGGGAACUCGAAGAUAAUCAUGAUGAUGAUGCUACAGCAGUAUAUUCUUACAUGAAUAAAUACCCAGCCAUCAAAAGACCUUCAUUUAAGAAACUGUUUGACAUUGAUUUCAAGUUUAAGUUUGCAGACAAAGAGAAUGCGCUUUUCGACUCCUGGCCUCUCAUCGAAGAAAAAAUUUAUGCUCUUGUCGCCAAAAAAGAUAGGAAGUUCCAACAAGCUGUAACGAAGGAAGGCAUACACCUAUCUGUACCCACCACAGAUCCUAGGUUUCGAACUGUAAACGGACUUUUGCUGCUGUCUCGGCUGUUGCCUAUCCCAAGAGCCAUACAAGGAAGUAUAAAGAAGAAGAAGAAUGAACUCUGGCGCCCUUCAAGGAUUGAGGUUCAAAAUGGUUUUUUACUAAUCGCUGAUGAGUCAAGAAUCGACGAAGCUUUAACUUUACGUCGUCGGAAGCAUGAGGCAUACGGUGAUGUCGGAUUCCAAGAAGCCGGACGUCGUGGCGACUUGCGAAGACAACCUCGCUAGAGCAGUGGAGAUUCAACUGGAGGCGUACCGGGAUGGCGACGUCUCGCUGGGGGACGCUUUGUCCCCGACAAUCGCCCUCCUCCUAGAGGCCAAGACGGAGCGGGAGAGAGCUAUGAAAAGGAGGAGCUCCUCAUCAGCCGGCAGUCUAGGCUGCAGCACAACGCCUGGAACGUAAGUUGAAUACAUAGUUUUGUGCACGUAGAGGCAUCGGCGGAGGUAGUCGGUAAAGGGGCAGAAUAAGGUUGCGUGGCUGUCGAGAGAAUUAUCCCUUAUUAAUCGAUCCUCAUGGUAAUAUAAGAUUAUUACGUAAAAAAUUAUUCCUUCUGUUGUGUCUUGACAUGUUUCGAUUUCAGGUGUAUAUUCCUUUCGAAUGAUUCAUUCCUUGGAGGAGCCGGGCAUUCGGUUGGAUUUUUUCUUUCUUUCUCGUUGCCUCAAUAUCAUCAAAGGAAAAGAGAAGCCAACAGCCAAGACCUAAAAAUUAACUCUCACCAUGCUGUGGGUAUGUUGGCUGGGACCUGGGAUAAAGUUACGCCCGCCUCGAUCGAUUCAGAACUAUUUCGCGAAAGCCGGAAUUUGCAAAAAAGUGCCAAAACAAAAGAAGACCCCGGACUCCGGAGUCGUCGGCUGUAGUUUCCGAUGAUGACAUGGUGAUAGAUGAAGUUCUGUCCGAAAUUGAAGACGAAGAUGACGAGGACGCAAUGUUAGUCGAAAAUGUGCCAUCCGAUGAAGUUCUUUUCAGCGAACUUCGUGAAUUUAUUCGUAAAGAUUCGACGACCACUCUCGACUCCUACAUCAAUGCUGACGACGAGGCUGAUAAUGCUCCUCAGGUGAGAAUCGAUGAGCUUGACGAAGGGCUCCCUCCGGAGGCACCCGAAUCAUCCGAAGAGCCCUUUGUUGAAAAAGUCUCCCCCAUGUUUGUACUGGAGGCAAUCGGAACUUCGAAAAAUUUUCCGGCUGAACAUGGCAUCGAUGGACAGGCCAUGAAUCUUCAAAAAUUUGAGGAAGCAGUUCAGCUAGUGGGCUUAGGAGAAUAGAAUCAAAGUGUCAUCUUGAAGUUUUUUCAAAAGAA